AAGCGUUUUACAUGUCUGCUCUAUGGGGACAAGGAAAGACUAUCUAUAGAGAUACUGUGGGGUAGAAAUGGGGCUAGUAGAAGGAACAGACACGCAAACCUUCAUGCGAACGGCAGCUCAUUUUUUUUGUGCGGUGGCGGGUCGUAGAUUCGUUGGGAGGGGUAGGAGGGUUUAAAGAAGACUAAACUACAUAACCAAAUAAGCAAAGGAUACUUACACAGACUUGAGGACUUUCCUACUAUUUAAACAAAUUGGGACGCCGUUUGAAAAAUCCUCAAAUUCUCAUAUCGAGUACUUACUGGAAAGCAACUGGGGGACAUUCAUCGUAGAUUCCUCAUUGGGGUUAUAGUGGGCUACAAAUUAUCAUCAUUUGGCUUCUAUGCCAUUAUAUUUUCUUCUGUUCUAAAACUUAUUCACUUGUAUUAGAUAUCUGUUAAUAAUUUUCUUAAAUAAAGAGGUUACAGAAAUAAAGAUGUGUACAUUUUAUAAUGUUUAUUUAAACCUUAAUACCUUUUUAUUUUUAUUGAGAAUAGACACAUUCUCAAACCAGAAAUGAAUAAUAAUAACAAAAUACAUGAUUUUACAAUUUUUAACCUUAUUUUUAGCAGUGUACCAAAACAAAAAUUUGACAUGGCUGUCAAAUGUCACUGCCAUCUAAUAUUUACUUUACAUAAUAUAUUUUCCAUGUUGAAAACAAACAUUUUUAAUUAUGUAAAACCUUUACCAAUAAUAUCCACUUGUGAAUUAUUUAAAAUAAACAUUAUCAUACCUUGUUAAAACAAAAAUCCAUGUCACAACACUUGGAACUUCAAAAUUUUCCAUUCAGACGGGGCUGGGAGGGGAAGAUAUUCAAAUCAUUACAAAACUGGAUAAAAUCGAUACCAAAUAAUAUCAUCUGGGCAUUUCUUACUGGAACAUGAACAAAUCCAAAACAUCAUAAAAAUAGCAACAGCUACAUAAAGGACAGGAACCAGGAAACCACGCACUUCUUUUUUAUUACCACCGGCAAACCAAACUGCAUAACAAUAGAACUAUUUCACAAUAAUAUAUCCAUUAAAAUGCCGUGAAACUAUUGUCAUUAUAUUCGUUGACAUUUACUGGGCAAACUGCCAGUCUUUCACUUCUUUUACCAUAAAAAUAAAACCAUUUUGCCGGCAAAGUGCGACUUUCUACGAGUCUGUUGGUCGAGUUCUAACAAAAAGAUGUUUACUGAAGUGAUGUACUUUUAGAACUAGCUUUACAUCGUCACGUCUCUCUCGCGUCCAAACGAUGCAUUUCUUCUCGAUCGUUCGGCCAAAACUAUUGACCAAUCGUCAACUACAACUCAAGGAUCUUUCAAAAUGCAGACCAAUAAUAACAUGGGAUUUUUAGCGCUCAAAACUUAAAGGAAAAACACUGAACCUUUUAGAGGAUUCAUUCUCGAAUAAUGAAUGAUUUCACAAUAACUAUCUACGUAGUUGGUAAAUGCUACUCAAAUAAAUAGGAACUUUCCUAUGAUUUUACUUUGUUGCGAAAAUAUUCUGAAAUAUUUCGAACAGGAGCGGCUUAGAAAUUUUAAAGAUAUAUAAACUCGCAAAAUAUAUUAGAAAAAUUAAUAUUUUUCUUGGGAUAGGAUUAAAAUUAAUGGAUAUUUUUUAUAAAAUAUUGUAGUAGAAAUCCAUCUGCUACAAUAGCCUCCUCGGAAGAGAGGAAACUGGAUUACCAAUUCAGUUUUCGAUAACUACAAAAAUCCAACAUUGACUUCUUGGGUGUGACAGGACAACAAUACCAAAAUAUUUAAAUAAUGGCUAAUGGGGAUUAAACAAAAACAAAACAUCAUUAGGGAAUGGGCUAGCGUGCCAUCAAUCGCCAGACUCUUUAAAGUCGAGUAGACUUAAAUGUUAAGACUCUAAUAAGAACUGUAGGUGAUAAGAGUUUCUGUGUCUUGGGAAAGAAAUAAUCUUGUGCCCUGUGUGGACCUCGCUGACAUCCACUGCAGUAACACAAGUGACAUAUAUACUAUAUAUACCAUAUAAUAUAUACCAUAUAGCAGGGCAGACACAGCCUCAUCACCUCGUUGCCUAACCGGGAGCGGUUUUCAAAAACUAAAAAAAUCUUUCUGAGCUCUGGCUCAGCAGAUAGGCAUCUGCUUAAACUCUAAACACCUAGCGACUUUCACGGGGCAUUCGGCAACGGUUCUGCAAAAGGAGGAUUUAGACAAUCCAUUCUAAAUACCUCGUUGAGAUAAAAUGUCACAAAUAACUUAUCUCAACAACUCAUUCAAACAAGACCAAACAGGGGGGAAUGCGUGUGACAACAUAAAAGACCAAAAAAAACUAGUAUACUGGAUUCAAACGGGAUAUCAAACCAUUUAAUAAGAUCAAAAAAAAAUAACGUAACACA